GGGGGGGCUGGUGGGGAUCCUCCCCUUCUUAGAGAUGCUCUUUGGCAUCUGCUGCCACGCUUUUAGCUUGCUUUCAGCUCAACCUAAAACAAAACUGGUGGCUGGUCCCCUACAUGCCCCCAAACCCCCAAAUCUAAACCCAAAGUAUCCCACAGGGCUGUUUCGCCAUCCUUUUGCUGACCUGUGUUACCCAGGGCCACAAGGUGACCUGACCAGUGACCUGGUCCCUGGCCACAGCCCUGCUGGGUCCCCCUGGUCUGGGGGGUGAUGGAGGGUCGGAGUGGUGCUUCUUGCUGGGUCCUGUCCUUGCAGGGCUCACUGGUCUUCCUGGUGAGCGGGCUGGCCGUGCUGGGCUACGCAGCGGCCCUCAGCGCCCAGCCCACCUACCAGGGGGUCAUCCGGGUGGUGUGCGGGGCAGCGGUGGGGAAGCUCUGCGAGGUCUGCUUCCUUCUCAACCUCUUCAUGAUCUCCGUGGCCCUGCUCAGGGUGGUGGGCGACCAGCUGGAGAAACUGUGUGACUCCCUGUACCCCAAUGCGACACUGAGUGGGGACCCCCUGCUGCCCCCCUGGUACGUGGACCAGCGCUUCACCCUCUCGGCUCUCUGCGUCCUUGUCAUCUUCCCGCUCUCCGUCCCCAGGGAGAUUGGCUUCCAGAAGUACUCCAGCAUCCUGGGCACACUGGCCGCCUGCUACCUCACCCUGGUCAUCAUCCUGAAGUACCACCUGCAGGCAGAGAGCCUGAGCUCACCUGAGCCCCCCCAGUCCUCCAGGGCCUCCUCCUGGGUCUCUGUCUUCAGCGUCAUCCCCACCAUCUGCUUCGGCUUCCAGUGCCAUGAGGCCUGUGUGGCCAUCUACAGCAGCAUGCGCAACCAGAACUUCUCCCACUGGGUCACUGUCUCCGUGCUCUCCAUGCUCAUCUGCCUGCUCAUCUACUCCCUCACUGGGCUCUAUGGCUACCUGACCUUCGGCGAGGCUGUGGCAUCCGAUGUCCUAAUGUCCUACCCAGGGAACGACCCAGUCAUCAUCGUCGCCCGCUUGCUUUUUGGUAUCUCCAUCAUCACCAUCUACCCCAUCGUGGUGCUGCUGGGCCGGUCGGUGGUGCGGGACAUGUGGGUGACCCCCAAGCGUGGGACUACGGACAUGACUGAGGCACAUGAGUGGCAGAGCCGGGUGGUGCUGACAGUGGCCUGGAUGGCCACCACACUCACCAUCGCCCUCUUUGUCCCCGACAUCGGCAAGGUCAUCGAGCUCAUUGGGGGCAUCAGCGCCUUCUUCAUCUUCAUCUUCCCAGGGCUGUGCUUAGUAUGUAUGACCGGGACCUGCACCCUUGGGCCACGCAAAAAGUGAGUGUCUGUGGGUCGGUGGGCAAGGGAAGGGGCAGGGGUGGGGUGCAGCAUCCCAUAGUCCAGGAAGGGUCCCCGGGAGUCACCCUGGCCAAGGUGGGAGUCCCAUGAGGAAGGGAGUUUGGGGCAUCUGUGGGCACUGAAAGCAGAAGCACUUGCUGUGGGACACGGGGUCCAUGGUGGGGCUGAAGGGUGGGCAAGGAGGGAUGUGCUGAGGUAUCUGGGAUGUUCCUGGGUAUCAGGGAUGAGCCUGGGCAUAAGGGAGGUGCCCAGACAUUGGGGAUGUGCCUGGGCAAUGGGGUUGUGCCAGGUAUCGGGGGUGUGUCAGGAUAUCAGGGAUGUGCCCAGGUGUUGGGAGUGUGCCUGGGAAUCGGGGAGGAGCCUGGGCAUUGGGGAGGUACCAGGUACCAGGCCCUUUGCAGGGCUGUAUGGGAUGGAGAGCCGUGGGGUUUGGAGGCACUGGGGCACCCGGUGGGGGCCAGGGUGGGGGCAGAGAGGCACGGUGCCCCAAGGCCAGCAGCCAUCAGUGGUUCUUGUGCUGAGGGGGGGGUGCAUACCCAUCACUGCUCCUGGCUGGAGAGGCUGUGGGCACACCAGCAGCCCAUGUCAGGGAGACUUGGUAUGGUGCUGGCCGAUUUUGGGGUAACCGUGUGCCAAAGUGUGUUCCCGUGGGGAAGCAGCAGAGUCUGAGUGAGGAUGGAGGUGAUGGGGGGGUCCUGUCCCCCAUGGUGACCAGAGGGAGCACCCCAGGGGGUGCUGGGACAAGAGGCGCCCUGGGGGGGGGGCAUGGCUGUCUGGGCAGGUACAACAAGAGUGCCCCCCGGCGUGCUGGGGGGCCCAGGGGUGCCCAGGAGAGCAAGGGCACCCAGGUGGGUGACAAGGCCUCGGAGAGGUCCCUCGGGAAGACCUGCCAGGGUGUGAGCCCAGGAGCGCUGCCACGAGAAAAGUGGAUAACAUGAGCCGGGGCGAUGGGGACAGCACGGGGACAGUACCAGCCUGCCUGGGGCAGUUCGGGAAGGUGCACCGUGCUGAUGACCCCACGACGGAGCAGCAGCGGCGUUCGGGGUGGGCAGAGGGGAUGAGCCAAAGGGGCUGCCAGGAGCUUCGGCCAUCUGCCAGGAGCGAUGCAAAGGAGAAUGACACAGGAGGCUGAGACCCGGCAGAAGGGCCCACAUCCAGAGGGUCUGGGGGUGGCACAUAACUGGGUGCUGGCUCUCUCCCACCGGGCUCCUGUUCAUGUCCCCACAGGGCUGUUCUCAUGUCCUGGGGUGUCCUCUCUGUCCUUGGUGGUGCCUUCGUCUGUGGGCAGAGCGCUGCCCUGGCUGUGCUGGGACUGCUGCGCUGAGGGGCCAUGGACCCACAUCAGGCCCUCCACCAUGAGG